rnacentral:rRNA from 1 species
AGGGCGGAAUAGUCUGAGGUCGUGGACCCGAAACCGGGUGAUCUAGCCAUGAGCAGGUUGAAGUCGGGGUAAGACCCGAUGGAGGACCGAACCGACCCCCGUUGAAACGUUGGCGGAUGACUUGUGGCUAGGGGUGAAAUUCCAAUCGAACCCGGAGAUAGCUGGUUCUCCCCGAAAUAGCUUUAGGGCUAGCGUCGCAGCGAGAGAGCCGUGAAGGUAGAGCACUGAAUAUGCGAUGGCCGCAUCCCGCGGUACUGAGCAUAAUCAAACUCCGAAUGUCACGGUGUCAUCUGCGGCAGUCAGACGGCGAGUGAUAAGGUCCGUCGUCAAAAGGGAAACAGCCCAGACCAUCAGCUAAGGUCCCAAAGUGCAUGCUAAGUGGAAAAGGAAGUGGAGACGUGCAGACAACUAGGAGGUUGGCUCAGAAGCAGCCAUCCUUCAAAGAGUGCGUAACAGCUCACUAGUCGAAUGACUCUGCGCCGAUAAUUUACCGGGGCUAAGCAUGACACCGAAGCUAUGGACAGGAAUGUGGUAGGGGAGCAUUGCAUGCAGCGGAGAAGCAUGACCGGAAGGGCAUGUGGAGCGCAUGGAAGAGAGAAUGCCGGCGUGAGUAGCGGCACGUGGGUGAGAAUCCCACGCACCGAUGGCCCAAGGUCUCCAGAGGAAGGCUCGUCCUCUCUGGGAUAGUCGGGACCUAAGGCGAGGCCGAAAGGCGUAGCCGAUGGACGACGGGUGGAUAUUCCCGUACCCGAUGUGUGGCGAUGGAGUGACGGAGAAGGCUCAGGCAACCAGCUGCUGGAAUAGCUGGGGCAAGCGAGAUACCUGCGCACCAGGGAAAUCCGGUGCGCAUAAGGGGAAGGCGCGAUGCAUACGGAAAGCUACGGCAAGUACGGAAAAGCUGAGAGCAGGCUUCCAGGAAAAGCUUCUAGCACCACACACAUCGGCCCGUACCGAAAAUGGACACACAUGGGCAAGGAGAGAAUCCUGAGGUGAGCGAGAGAACUAUAGCUAAGGAACUCUGCAAAAUGACCCCGUAACCUAGGGAGAAGGGGUGCUCCAGAAAUGGAGCCGCAGUAAAACGGCCCAAGCGACUGUUUACCAAAAACACAGCUCUCUGCGAAGGCGCAAGCCGAAGUAUAGGGGGUGACGCCUGCCCGGUGCUGGAAGGUCAAGGGGAGCUGUCAGCGCAAGCGAAGCAGCGAGCCGAAGCCCCAGUAAACGGCGGCCGUAACUAUAACGGUCCUAAGGUAGCGAAAUUCCUUGUCGGGCAAGUUCCGACCCGCACGAAAGGCGUAACGAUUUGGGCGCUGUCUCAGCUGUAGACUCGGUGAAGUCUUAGUACCUGUGAAGAUGCAGGUUGCCCGCGACUAGACGGAAAGACCCCAUGGAGCUUCACUGCAGGUUGACAUUGGGCUUGGAUGCAUGAUGUACAGGAUAGGUGGGAGGCUG